rnacentral:rRNA from 1 species
UAACACAUGCAAGUCGAGCGCCCCGCAAGGGGAGCGGCAGACGGGUGAGUAACGCGUGGGAACGUACCCUUUACUACGGAAUAACGCAGGGAAACUUGUGCUAAUACCGUAUGUGCCCUUCGGGGGAAAGAUUUAUCGGUAAGGGAUCGGCCCGCGUUGGAUUAGCUAGUUGGUGGGGUAAAGGCCUACCAAGGCGACGAUCCAUAGCUGGUCUGAGAGGAUGAUCAGCCACAUUGGGACUGAGACACGGCCCAAACUCCUACGGGAGGCAGCAGUGGGGAAUAUUGGACAAUGGGCGCAAGCCUGAUCCAGCCAUGCCGCGUGAGUGAUGAAGGCCCUAGGGUUGUAAAGCUCUUUCACCGGAGAAGAUAAUGACGGUAUCCGGAGAAGAAGCCCCGGCUAACUUCGUGCCAGCAGCCGCGGUAAUACGAAGGGGGCUAGCGUUGUUCGGAAUUACUGGGCGUAAAGC